CUGUCCCAUCAGCUAUGCCAUCUGGGAUGGGGUGAAGCCAGGACAAGACGUCAUUUUGCAAAGGAGGCAGAGCCCAUAUCAGGGUGCCUUGGCACCAGGGCAACUUUGGGCCAAGUAUUCGACCCAUCGCCCGCCUUAAUGGACCCAUGGCCCCUCCUCUACACGUGGACCAGAUCUAGUGAAUGAUGAACAGCUCACGUUUCCCAGGAUCUUUUGUCCAGCAGGUGAUUGCGCCGCAGGCUCUAGCUUGAGCACCACUGCUGUCUAGUCUGGAGCAUCUCCCUAGUUACUGGCUGGGACACAAAACCACGUUGCUAUCUGAUCUCAUCACACUUCUGCCAGGAGGUGAAAUCUAGGAGCCCACCUUCUUGAUGCCCAACGUCUUCUUCAGGUCACUUACCUGAGAACACCUGAGGAUACUGAGACAUUGUCAGGUUUGAAGGAGACUCCAGGAACUGCUGCAGCCAUCUGCCAGUCUAACAAGUAGACCAACUCAAAGCAGAGAGCAGAGGCCAAGGAAUUUCAGAAAAGCAGAACCAGGAUAUGUUGUGGAUGGACCCUAAUCUACCCCUGAACUUC